AUCUACAUGUCAAAUAAGAAAAAUUUCAUGUAACUAUAUUAUAUGAUUCAGUUAAUUUCUUUAAUGUUUUCUCUACUAUGAGUGGUUGAGUCGGGAUUUUAUACAAAAUAUGAAGAAGUAAACAUACGAAACAGUAGAUCUGGAAUUCAACAUCUACAUAAAAAAGAAUAUGCUGAAGAAUAUUUUACCUCUUUCUCCAACUCAUAGAAGCUAUUGAUUAGGACCCAAUCAACUUUGUCAAGAUUUGAGAAUUGAUUCACCAACAUUUCAAGUAUUCUUUCUCCUUCAGGAUUAAUAACAAAACUAGGCCAAGGAAGGAAUGGAUCAUAUACUAUGCAAUUUACAUGACAUCCACUUUUUGCCAAUUUUUCAAUAAGUUGAGACAGAGUAUCCGAACCAAUUUCUUUGAAUCGUGUAAUAUAGGCCACAAAAGAUCCUGCUUGAUCGCGACCACCAUCAUCAUAACCAUCAGAUAUGGCCUCAAUUGACAUAGAAGUUGGCAAUUCUUUCAUGUUUUUCAAAAAGGAUUUUGUGAGUGCUAUAGUGAUUUUAACGCGUUUGGAUUGUAAACGUUUGGAGAAUUGAAGCAUUGGGUUGAUAUGACCUUGGCCUGGAAAUGGCAAGAUCAAGCAAUGAGCUUUGUGAGUAGUCAUCUCUUGCAACUUCUCAAUUGAUGGCUGAAAUAAAAAAUCAACUUAGUGUUGUAUAUUCUUAUAGUUAGUUGAUUGAGAUGAAGUGUACAAUUUGGAUUAUUGUGUGUUGGCUUCUUCCUAUUCUA